GUCACGCACCCCCGUGCGGCCCCCGCCUGCCCGCGCGCGCACACUCGGCCCCCCGCGGCCAGACCCACACGGGUGGCGCGCGAACCCCGCGGGCCGAGGGGACCCCGCCUCCGGGCCGGCCGGGCGCAGGGCGACAGGGAGCGCACCCCGACUUCCCUGGAUCACAUGGGCUGCGGGGGGCGGGUGGAUCGGGGGAGGGGAGGCGCGGGGAGCUUGCUGCGGCUCCUCAACCGGACCGGGGUGAAGACGCCCCCCCCCACCCUCUCUAGUUCGCCCUCUCUAUUCAAGUUUGCCGGCCCCUGCAGCCGAGAUCCAGGGAUGGCACCAGCCGCCCGCCCUGCGCUGCGCCCUGUUUCCAGCCACUGCUCAGAAAUUUAGGUCAAGGACGUCGGGAGCAAACCCAUACUCCGGCGCUACUCUGGCGGCCCCCGAGACCCCCCAGGAUCGAGGGACUUAAGGAUGGCGGAGACCCUCCUGCACAAACACCAGCCACAAGUUUUAUUUUCCUUUUGCGCUGGAAGUUCUCUCUGGCUCUCGCUCCACACCGGCACGUCUUGCGCGGCUCCCCGCCCUUCCCCAGCAGAGCCGUAUGCCAGGAUAAUAAAAUGCAUGAUACUGAAAUAGCCCAAGACCCCUCACGAACUGCGGAGGUAGCUGGGGUGGCAGAAGGCUUCACAAUCACCCCCACCUUAGGAGCAGCAGUAUUGUGCAGCACGGUUCUGGCAUACAGAUUGGGAGACAAAGGAAUACACUCAACACCAAAACUGAACCAAAUCCACUGUGGGUUUUGGAAAAAUGGAAUACUUGGAAAAUCUGAACGCCAGCCAUAGCCUUGAGUGACCAGACUCUCAAUCUCCCUGUUCCCUAAAUUGUAGUAAUUCCUCCUUGACAGGAUUGAUGGGGUGAAGGUGAGAGGCUGAAGUGAACCAAUGUUGUAAAAGUUCCUUUUUCACUGUAAACCUGAGGAGUGUUUAUCAUCAAUUACUACUCAAUAUAAUCAUACUGAGAAGGUGCUCCCUCACGUUUCCUGUCAUUCCAAGCUCCUUCCCAAAUCAUCUGGGGUCUCAAGUCUGGAAUAGUUAGUUGUUAUGAUGAUUGUUUAUUAUGAGUGAUUAUUCUCAACAAAAUGCAGACAACAGAACUAAUUGUAUUGUGUUUGGAAUUUUUACGGUAGAAACACAGGCCAUCCUAGGUAGAAAGGCCUUUCCUAAUCUAAUCCCCUCAUUUUACAUCAGGGUCUCAGAGGUACCAAACUCACCAGGCUACACCCCACCCCGAGCUUCUGGCCAUCAGUCCAGUGCCAUUUGGCCUCUGCUGCCUACAUGUUUAUUCUGUCCCUCGAAAGGCAAGAGUUGGGGGCCCUUCUCUGGUAUAGACCUCCACAGGCUGACACAGAACUGAUUCAAAAUCUAGAGGGGGCUAGUGCUGCAGUUACAAAGUCAGUGGCUGAGCAAGAACUAGAUUGUAAGUCUCUAUUACUACAUUGUUUUUACUCAUUUAGUUUUAAUUUAUAUGCAGUAACAUUUACCCUUUUUGGACUGUAAUUCUAUGAGUUUUUGACAUAUGCAUAGAGUCAUGUAACCACCACCGCAAUCAAGAUGCAGAACAAUUUGAUUGUCCAAAAAAAGUCCCUCUUGCUGCCCUUUUGCACUACAUUAUUUGUAAUAGCUCAUUAUUAUUAUUAUUUUAUGCAUUUUUUUCUCGUUUACUCAAUGUAGCCCCUGCAUCAGGUGAAUUCAAGCAGCACAGUAUCAUUCCUCAACCCUCUUAAAAAGUCUCAACAGCCCAAGACCAUGUUGGACAAUUCCUUCUUCAAACUCAAUCUUCCAGGAUGGGUUUAAACACAUGUUGAUGCCACUCAAAUUGAAAUCUCCAGCCCCAUCUUUCCUGAAGAGUUCCAGGCUCUGGCCAAUUUCCUAUUCAGCGUCUCCACUUAGCCUUUCUAAAGGCAGCCCGAGCUCAAAUCCAUCUUUCUUGCUACUGCAUCCCAGAUCUCCCACCUGAGUCCCUGCAACAGCCUACAAAACAGUCUCUCCACAUCCACCGUUACUCCACUUACGUGCCUGGAAAUCUUUCCCAGACCUCUGUGACAGGGUCGAAUGCCCCUUGAUAUGCAGUUACCCUACUGUAACUGUGUAAAUAACAUACCGUAAAUAACAUACUCUGUGUAUUUACUCUGUAUGAUCAUUUGCUUUAUUGCCCAUCUCCUCUAAGCCAUAAGCUCCUGGACCUUUCUGCUCUCCAUGUACCACACACUGCCUGCUCGAGCACGGUUGAUGCUCAAUAAUGAUUGACUGAAUAAAUGGAUGAAUGAA